ACUGUCUCUAUUUAUCAUUACAGUAUCAGAUCUUCAGUCAGGUUAUAUAGUGCUGAUGUGUGUAGUGUUUGUUAUAGAUCAGACACACGUUCACACUAAUGACUGUCUCUAUUUAUCAUUACAGUAUCAGAUCUUCAGUCAGGUUAUAUAGUGCUGAUGUGUGUAGUGUUUGUUAUAGAUCAGACACACGUUCACACUAAUGACUGUCUCUAUUUAUCAUUACAGUAUCAGAUCUUCAGUCAGGUUAUAUAGUGCUGAUGUGUGUAGUGUUUGUUAUAGAUCAGACACACGUUCACACUAAUGACUGUCUCUAUCAUUACAGUAUCAGAUCUUCAGUCAGGUUAUAUAGUGCUGAUGUGUGUAGUGUUUGUUAUAGAUCAGACACACGUUCACACUAAUGACUGUCUCUAUUUGUCAUUACAGUAUCAGAUCUUCAGUCAGGUUAUAUAGUGCUGAUGUGUGUAGUGUUUGUUAUAGAUCAGACACACGUUCACACUAAUGACUGUCUCUAUUUAUCAUUACAGUAUCAGAUCUUCAGUCAGGUUAUAUAGUGCUGAUGUGUGUAGUGUUUGUUAUAGAUCAGACACACGUUCACACUAAUGACUGUCUCUAUUUAUCAUUACAGUAUCAGAUCUUCAGUCAGGUUAUAUAGUGCUGAUGUGUGUAGUGUUUGUUAUAGAUCAGACACACGUUCACACUAAUGACUGUCUCUAUUUAUCAUUACAGUAUCAGAUCUUCAGUCAGGUUAUAUAGUGCUGAUGUGUGUAGUGUUUGUUAUAGAUCAGACACACGUUCACACUAAUGACUGUCUCUAUUUAUCAUUACAGUAUCAGAUCUUCAGUCAGGUUAUAUAGUGCUGAUGUGUGUAGUGUUUGUUAUAGAUCAGACACACGUUCACACUAAUGACUGUCUCUAUUUGUCAUUACAGUAUCAGAUCUUCAGUCAGGUUAUAUAGUGCUGAUGUGUGUAGUGUUUGUUAUAGAUCAGA